GUAGCUCAAUCAGCAGAGCAUCCGUCUCACCACUCCUCGUCGUCGACCGUUUCCUCCUUCCAUCGCGGAAUGCGAACGGGACUACAUCGUGUCGUCGGUUCGAAUCCGACCGGGUCCACCA
rnacentral:tRNA from 1 species